rnacentral:rRNA from 1 species
CCUACGGGAGGCAGCAGUGGGGAAUAUUGCACAAUGGGGGAAACCCUGAUGCAGCGACGCCGCGUGAAGGAAGAAGUAUUUCGGUAUGUAAACUUCUAUCAGCAGGGAAGAAAAUGACGGUACCUGACUAAGAAGCCCCGGCUAACUACGUGCCAGCAGCCGAGGUAAUACGUAGGGGGCAAGCGUUAUCCGGAUGUACUGGGUGUAAAGGGAGCGUAGGCGGUUUAGCAAGUCAGAAGUGAAAGCCCGGGGCUCAACUCCGGGACUGCUUUUGAAACUGUUGAACUAGAGUGCAGGAGAGGUAAGUGGAAUUCCUAGUGUAGCGGUGAAAUGCGUAGAUAUUAGGAGGAACACCAGUGGCGAAGGCGGCUUACUGGACUGUAAAUGACGCUGAGGCUCGAAAGCGUGGGGAGCAAACAGGAUUAGAUACCCCUGUAGUC